UUUUUUAAUUCUUCUUUUGCUUCAGUACAUCCAUUUUUUUGUUUCUUCAACCAUCUAUCCCAUGCUUGUUCUUUAUGGAAGUCACAUAAAUAUACUUGACAACCUAAACAAAAUGUUAAACUUAGUUGAUUCAGAAAAAUAUAUUUUUAUAUAAAAUAGAUAGACAAAUAAAAAACAACACCAUUGUUUAAAAAUAACUUAAUUAUAUAAAUGAAUGGUACCUUAAUAUUUUGUGACCCAAG
rnacentral:lncRNA from 1 species